AUGUCUGCUCUCAAGCACUCGCUCUCACACUCAUCUACCCACGCACCUACACACACUUCUGUACACUCACCUGCACACUCACCCACACAUGCUCCUGUAUACUCACUGCCACACACGAUCACAUGCGCUCCUGUAGACUCAACUGCAGACUCACCCACACACGCUCCUGUACACUCACUGGCACACACAAUCACAUGUGCUCUUGUACACUCACCUGCACACGCACCCACACAUGCUCCUGUAUACUCACCUGCACACUCACCCACACAUGGUCCUGUACACUCACCGGCACACACAAUCACAUGUGGUCUUGUACACUCACCUGCACAUGCACUCACAUGUGGUCCUGUACACUCACCUGUACACACACACUCCUGUACACUCACCUGUACAUGCACUCACAUGCACUCCUGUACACUCACCUGCACACACACUCCUGUACACUCAUCUGCAUGCACUCACAUGCGCUCUUGUACACUCACCUGCACACACUUGUACAUUCACCUGCAUGCCCUCACACACACUCCUGUACACUCACCUGCACACAUGCACACACAUUCUUGGACACUCACCGGCACACACACACAGGCUCCUGUACACUCACCUGCACACACACACAUGCUCCUGUACACUCACUGGAACACACAAUCACACGCACUGCUGUACACUCACCUGCACACACACACACUCCUGUACACUCACCUGCAUGCGCACACACGUGCUCCUGUACACUUACCUGCAUGCACACACACAUGCUCCUGUACACUCACCUGCACACACACACACUCCUGUACACAUGCACACACACACUCCUAUACACUCACCUGCAUGCACACACAUGCGCUCCUGUACACUCACCUGCACACACACUCACGCUCCUGUACACUCACCUGCACACACACUCACACACGCUCCUAUACACUCACCUGCACACACACACACGCUCCUGUACACUCACCUGCAUGCACACACACGCACUCCUGUACACUAUACUCAGUUGCACACACACACACGCUCCUGUGUGUAUGA
rnacentral:lncRNA from 1 species